AAAAUACAAGUACUUUAAAAUGUUUAUUUUUUAUUAUAUUUUUUUACAUUGAACACUUCAGGAAAGAAAAUAAUUACAAUGAUUCAAAUGCAUGAAUGAUUCAAAUUCAAAAUGCAAUCCCUGGAUUCAAUAAUUAUCCUUUAUAAUUAUGCCCAAUAAAUAUUAGAAAUGUAUGUAGGCACUAAGUCAGCUAACAAAAUAAGUAAAAUAACUAUAUAAAGUAUAAAUCUCAGGACUGGGGAACAUGCAUGAUCAGUUAAGUCACUUGGCCACUGUAGGUGGUUUUUUAAAAAGCAUGAUUCACAUCUGCUUCAAUCACAUACACAUUCAUUGCAAGUGUUUUUUUUUGUUUUUCUGUUUUUUUCUGGCCACACUGCAUGGUAUGUGGGAUCUUAGUUCCCUGACCAGGGAUCAAACCCACGCCCCCUGCAUUGGAAGCAGAGUCUUAACCACUGGACCACCAGGGAAGUCCUGCAAGUGUUAAAUUAGACCAUUGAUGCUAACAACUUAAAACUAUGAUCUUAAAAGAAAAUUCAGUUUAAUACAAAGAAACUCAAGAAGAAAAUUUCAGGACCCUUGAUCAGAAGCUUUUGAUACCUGUCAUACUACUCUAGUGUACACAAAGGUUCAAGUAAGGCUGAUAAAGAAGAGUUGUUUCCUUUUCCCUUUGAAGACAUGAUCCAAGAAA